AACGUAGGUUCCGAGCGUUAUCCGGAUUUACUGGGCGUAAAGCGCGUUCAGGCGGUUUGGCAAGUCGGGCAUGAAAUCUCUCGGCUCAACCGGGAGAGGUUGUCCGAUACUGCUGGACUUGAGGGCAGUAGAGGGUGGUGGAAUUCCGGGUGUAGUGGUGAAAUGCGCAGAUAUCGGGAGGAACACCAAUGGCGAAGGCAGCUCGCUGGGACGGUACUGACGCUGAGACGCGAAAGCGUGGGGAGCAAACAGG
rnacentral:rRNA from 1 species